AACGAACGCUGGCGGCAUGCCUUACACAUGCAAGUCGAACGGCAGCACGGGAGCAAUCCUGGUGGCGAGUGGCGAACGGGUGAGUAAUAUAUCGGAACGUGCCCAGUCGUGGGGAUAACGUAGCGAAAGCUACGCUAAUACCGCAUACGAUCUAUGGAUGAAAGCGGGGGAUCGCAAGACCUCGCGCGAUUGGAGCGGCCGAUAUCAGAUUAGGUAGUUGGUGAGGUAAAGGCUCACCAAGCCGACGAUCUGUAGCUGGUCUGAGAGGACGACCAGCCACACUGGGACUGAGACACGGCCCAGACUCCUACGGGAGGCAGCAGUGGGAAUUUUGGACAAUGGACGCAAGUCUGAUCCAGCCAUUCCGCGUGCAGGAUGAAGGCCCUCGGGUUGUAAACUGCUUUUGUACGGAACGAAAAGGUUUCUAUUAAUACUAGGAGCUCAUGACGGUACCGUAAGAUAAGCACCGGCUAACUACGU
rnacentral:rRNA from 1 species